rnacentral:rRNA from 1 species
UACGUAGGGUGCAAGCGUUGUUCGGAUUUACUGGGCGUAAAGGGCGCGUAGGCGGCGCGGUAAGUCACUUGUGAAAUCUCUGAGCUUAACUCAGAACGGCCAAGUGAUACUGCAGUGCUAGAGUGCAGAAGGGGCAAUCGGAAUUCUUGGUGUAGCGGUGAAAUGCGUAGAUAUCAAGAGGAACACCUGAGGUGAAGACGGGUUGCUGGGCUGACACUGACGCUGAGGCGCGAAAGCCAGGGGAGCAAACGGG